rnacentral:rRNA from 1 species
AAUUAGUACGGCGAGUGAGCGGUAAAAGCUCAAAUUUGAAAUCUGGUACUUUCAGUGCCCGAGUUGUAAUUUGUAGAAUUUGUCUUUGAUUAGGUCCUUGUCUAUGUUCCUUGGAACAGGACGUCAUAGAGGGUGAGAAUCCCGUUUGGCGAGGAUACCUUUUCUCUGUAAGACUUUUUCGAAGAGUCGAGUUGUUUGGGAAUGCAGCUCAAAGUGGGUGGUAAAUUCCAUCUAAAGCUAAAUAUUGGCGAGAGACCGAUAGCGAACAAGUACAGUGAUGGAAAGAUGAAAAGAACUUUGAAAAGAGAGUGAAAAAGUACGUGAAAUUGUUGAAAGGGAAGGGCAUUUGAUCAGACAUGGUGUUUUUUGCAUGCACUCGCCUCUCGUGGGCUUGGGCCUCUCAAAAAUUUCACUGGGCCAACAUCAAUUCUGGCAGCAGGAUAAAUCAUUAAGAAUGUAGCUACUUCGGUAGUGUUAUAGCUUUUUGGAAUACUGUUAGCCGGGAUUGAGGACUGCGCUUCGGCAAGGAUGUUGGCAUAAUGGUUAAAUGCCGCCCGUCUGAGAAAAAGGAACAAAA